GACGAACCGUGCGAACGUUGUUCGGAAUAACUGGGCAUAAAGGGCGCGUAGGCGGGCCCGAAAGUCAGGGGUGAAAUCCCACGGCUCAACCGUGGAAGCGCCUUUGAUACUGCGGGCCUGGAGGGAGGCAGGGGAGUGCGGAACUUCCGGUGGAGCGGUGAAAUGCGUAGAUAUCGGAAGGAACACCGGUGGCGAAAGCGGCGCUCUGGACCUCUACUGACGCUGAGGCGCGAAAGCUAGGGGAGCAAACGGG
rnacentral:rRNA from 1 species